rnacentral:lncRNA from 1 species
UUUACCCAGUUGGAAGCAUCCUUCUUCAACCGUGUGCUUCUCCUUAGUGGUGCUUCAGCCGGGACAUUAUCCCUUGAUGAGACUGGUUCUUGCUGUUCUUCUUGCUGUUGCACAUUGUCUUCCUCUUCUUGUAAACUUUCUCCAGGUUCUGGUUCACCCAUUGCCACAUUGUCUUCCUCUUCUUGUAAACUUUCUCCAGGUUCUGGUUCACCCAUUGCCUCAACCCCUUCAUCUUGCAUCAUCACACACUGAUCAGGGUCUCUCAAGCCUUCUUCUGGAUGGCUUGCUUCUUCAGUUUCAUUCCCCCUCUCAUG